rnacentral:lncRNA from 1 species
AUGCAUUCCAAUGGCCACAUUCUGCUGGGAAUUGUCCCUGGUUGCUGGCCAGCAUUGCCCCUCCCACCUCCAACCUGUCACGAAUAUCAGUCUUUCCAGCUCCGAAGUUCAGAAAACAGACUUGCCUUCAGACCGCAAUUAAGUAGCAGAGAGAACACUUUUCUUCAAGUUAGUCAGUCUUGUCUGUGUGUGGCUUGCUCGUUGGACUUGGGAGAACUGAAAGAUCGUGACACACACACCUGCCUGGGCGAGAGGAGAUUUUUAACGUCACACCUGAAGAACAACAGGGAGGGCCGUCCCAGCUUUAUUCCAACAUACCUUUGUGAUUCUCCCAAGACACGAAUACAGCAGAUCACUUCGUCCACCCUCUUCUUUGGUCUUUCGAAGAAGCUCAGCUUUCCCGGGACGUGGACAGAGGCCCCAGAGACAAUUGAGCUAAUUAAGAACAUUAUUCCUCAUCCCAGAACCAGGCUCCCCCAGAAUAAAAUGAGUCUUGUUCUCCCUGUUGACUAUUUGUAACCUGUUUCAAUAAACGGCAUCUACUCUAUGCCGCA